GACGAACGCUGGCGGCGUGCUUAACACAUGCAAGUCGAACGGGUCUGCCCUGUUUUUUGCGGGGUGGGUCAGUGGCGAACGGGUGAGUAACACGUGAGUAACCUGCCCCUCACUUCUGGAUAACCGCUUGAAAGGGUGGCUAAUACGGGGUGUUCUGGCUGUGCCGCAUGGUGUGGCUGGGAAAGAUUCACUUUUGUGGUGUUUUGGUGGGGGAUGGGCUCGCGGCCUAUCAGCUUGUUGGUGGGGUGAUGGCCUGCCAAGGCUUUGACGGGUAGCCGGCCUGAGAGGGUGGGCGGUCACACUGGGACUGAGAUACGGCCCAGACUCCUGCGGGAGGCAGCUGUGGGGGGUAGUGCACAAUGGGCGGAAGCCUGAUGCAGCGACGUCGCGUGAGGGAUGGAGGCCUUCGGGUUGUGAACCUCUUUCGCCGGUGAAGAAGGUCCUGCUCUUUGUGGUGGGGUUGACGGUAGCCGGGUUAUGAAGCGCCGGCUAACUACGUG
rnacentral:rRNA from 1 species